UACAUGGGGUGCAACCGUUGCUCGGAAUUAUUGGGCGUCAAGCGCGCGUAGGCGGUUCCUUACGUCGGAUGUGAAAGCCCUCGGCUUAACUGAGGAAGUGCACCCGAAACUGAGUAGCUAGAGUACCAAAGAGGGUCGCGGAAUUCCCGGUGUAGAGGUGAAAUUCGUAGAUAUCGGGAGGAACACCGGUGGCGAAGGCGGCGACCUGGGUGGAUACUGACGCUGAGGCGCGAAAGCGUGGGGAGCAAACAGG
rnacentral:rRNA from 1 species